rnacentral:rRNA from 1 species
CGCUGGCGGCGUGCCUAAUACAUGCAAGUCGAACGGUCUUUCUAUGGAAGCUUGCUUCCACUGAGAAGAUAGUGGCGAACGGGUGAGUAACACGUGGGUAACCUGCCCAUAAGAGGGGGGAUAACAUCCGGAAACGGGUGCUAAUACCGCAUAGUUUUUCUUGAUCGCAUGAUCGGGAAAGGAAAGACGGCCUUUGUGCUGUCGCUUAUGGAUGGACCCGCGGCGUAUUAGUUAGUUGGUGAGGUAACGGCUCACCAAGACGAUGAUACGUAGCCGACCUGAGAGGGUGAUCGGCCACAUUGGGACUGAGACACGGCCCAAACUCCUACGGGAGGCAGCAGUAGGGAAUCUUCCGCAAUGGACGAAAGUCUGACGGAGCAACGCCGCGUGAGUGAAGAAGGUUUUUCCGGAUCGUAAAACUCUGUUGUCAGAGAAGAACAAGUUGGAGAGUAACUGCUCCAGCCUUGACGGUAUCUGACCAGAAAGCCACGGCUAACUACGUGCCAGCAGCUGC